GGGGUUACCGGGGGGUUACCAUGGUUAUUUGGGGGGGUUACCGGGGGUCACCGUGGUUACCGGGGGAUUACCGGGGGGUUACCGGGAGGUUACCAUGGUUACCGGGGGUUGCUAUGGUUACCGGGGGGGUUAUCAUAGGGUUACCAUGGUUACCGGGGGGUUACCGGGGGGGUCACCGUGGUUACCGGGGGGUCCCGGGGUGCCCCGGUCCCGGUGCCCGGCCCUGACCCCCUCCCGUUUUUCCUUCCCCCCCCCAGGAGGUGCCGAGCCCCGGAGCUGAGGAGCCGGAGCCCAGCGGGGGCUGGGGGCUGGGGGGCAGCGACAGCGAGAGCGGGGGGGGCAGCGAGGAGGAGGAGGAGGAGGAGGAGGAGGAGGAGGAGGAGGGGAGCGGAGAGGAAGAUGAGGACGAGGAGGAGGAGGAAGACGACGAGGAUGAAGAUGAGGAGGAUGAGGAUGAUGAUGAGGAAGAGCCCGGCAGCACCACAGCCCCCCCAGCACGGGGGUGUCCAGGCCACCUGGGCACAAAGGUUGGUGGAAAAUUCACGCUGGAGCUCGCCCUAAUGCGCAGCUCCUGCCGUGCCCCCGUUCAGCACCGGUCCCCCUCGGGGUGUCCCCGUCCCCCUCGGGGUGUCCCCAUCCCAGUGCCCCCUCCAGCAGCCACUGGGGACCCCCAGCUCGGCUCCUCAGAGCACCCAAUUCCCUCCACCACGCGAGUUUCCUGGCUCCUGACGCUCAUUUUUCUUGGCGCUGGCCCCCAGCCCAGGAUUUUGGGAGCUGGGUGCAGAGCGGGGUUGGGCAUUUUUUGGGACCCGGAGCAGAGGUGAGUUUGUAGGGAAAAACCCCCCAGAAACAGGAUUUUUGGCCCAGGAACCGGCACCCAGCUGCAGCGCUGACUCCUCUGCCUUUGCUAAAUUCCUUCUCAAAACUCAAAUUAUUUUUUUAGCCCCGUUUGGAGGCUAAAAACCCGUUGGAGGUGACACCACCCCCUGCGGCACGGCGUCGCGCUGGGGGCUGGGAGCAGUGCCCCGAGCACCAGACCUCGGUGCUGCUUCACCAAAAAAAGGCUCGUGGAGUCAUUUGGGAUGGCCAAGACCUCACCAAAAAAGGGCUCGUGGAGUCGUUUGGGAUGGAGAAGACCUCACCAAAAAAGGGCUCGUGGAGUCGUUUGGGAUGGCCAAGACCUCACCAAAAAAGGGCUCGUGGAGU
rnacentral:lncRNA from 1 species